rnacentral:rRNA from 1 species
UACAGAGGUCUCAAGCGUUGUUCGGAUUCAUUGGGCGUAAAGGGUGCGUAGGCGGCGCGGUAAGUCGGGUGUGAAAUCUCGGAGCUUAACUCCGAAACUGCAUUCGAUACUGCCGUGCUCGAGGACUGGAGAGGAGACUGGAAUUUACGGUGUAGCGGUGAAAUGCGUAGAUAUCGUAAGGAAGACCAGUGGACGGAAGGCGGGUCUCUGGACAGUUCCUGACAUGAGGCACGAAGGCCAGGGGAGCAAACGGG